GGAUGUGAGGGCGAUCUGGCUGCGACAUCUUUCACCCCAUUGAUGGCCAGGGUUGAUUCGGCUGAUCUGGCUGGCUAGGCAGGUGUCCCCUUCCUCCCUCACCGCUCCAUGUGCGUCCCUCCCAAAGCUACGCACUUGGUCGAAGAGGACGACCAUCCCCAAUAGAAGAGGACCAGUCUUCGGUCAAGGGUAUACGAGUAGCUGCGCUCCCCUGCUGGAACCUCCAAACAAGCUCUCAAAAUAAUAAGGAAAAAAAUGGAAGCAUAGUUAAAGUAUGAACAAGUAAAAAUGGAAGGCCCUGAGUU
ensembl:misc_RNA 7SK 7SK RNA